UAUCUAUCUAUGGUCGGCAGGUCUGGUAGCAUUUCUGGCUGCUGUUGAUCUUGUUUUUGGAGUAAAACACGGUGGAAGCUGAAUUAGUGAGGAUGACUCCUGCUCCUGUCAUCUCUAAGCUCCUCACACAUCUUUACCUGCACAUGAGGAAAAUCACUCCUGUAGAAUGCAGAUGUUCAGAGGGAGAUGAUGCCACAUCUGGUCCAUCUGAUGGAAGGUCUUGAAGUUCUCUGACUGACCUCGACUGAAGAUGGUCGUCUCACUGGAUUUAAGGUUCAGAUGCUCAGUAACAAACUCCACCAAUGAGCCAACAGGGAAGCUUUAGGUUUAUUAAAUGUUGCUAUGAAGGUUUCGCUGUUUUUCUUUGUGAAUGCAAUGUGCUCCAACUGAAACUUGUAUUAGAACUUAGAAGUAAAUCCUUCCAUCUGAAAGGAUUUAGUUGCAUUAAUAACCUCAUAACAUUCUAAUUUUUAUUCCAGUGUUGGUAGGAAAUAGAAUCUCUGUAUUGAUUCAGGUAAAAACUGAACUUCACAGCAUGUUGGAGCAAAACAACCAGAUGAAAACUGUGAUGGUGUUGGAUUGUCAGACCGUAAUGUUGCAGCUCAAAGCAGCUUUUCUAUCUCAGUUCAUUCUGACAUUCAGCUAUGAAUCAACACAGCAGAUGGUGAUCCAUGCUGUGGAAGUCUCACAUCUCCUGAUUUAAUGGAGCUGCUUUGCACUUUUUACACUGUUUAUUCACCAACACUUUAUUUAAUAAAAGUCCCAUCUAGUUUUUAUGAGGAAUGUGAUGUUUUAAUUUCUCUGUGAAUAACUGCAGUCUAAUGUAACAGCUGGAGUUGUAACAUCUGUCCUGAUAUUGAUCAUGAAGUAUUGAUCAGAAUACUUAUGGUCAGCAGUCAUCCCUGAAGUUUUACAUUAAAAUCUUUACUUGUGUUGUGAACUUUGGUAAGAAGCAGAAACGUUAGCGUUGCCAUGGAUACAUGAGUGUUAAAUUCUGUCCAUGUUUCCAUUUUGGGAAAUUCAGUCCAGCAGAUGAGUUUGUUUUCUGCCAGCUACCAUUCAGUCUGAGAUAUUAAGAAUAAAUAUGCAUGAUGUGGAAAUUAACAGAUUUUAUUUUUAUUUAUUCCUACAGCUGCUGCAGGUAAAGUUAUAGGAUGUGGAGGAAUUUAGUCUCACAAUCACAGAAAACAAAUAUAUCUGAAAGUCGGGUUAUUGUUGUUUAUCAGCACAGCAAAAGAUUAAUGUUAGAAAUAUUCCAGUUGAGACUCUAGAAUAUCAUGAUUUAUGUAAAUUUACCUCAAUAAUAUGAAUGUUCAGGUUAAGAUUGUACAGUGAUAUUUAUUAUGUAAGUUUAGCUGAUUAUAGUUUAUGACUCUGCACUAAAAUAUUAUUUAAAUUUAGAUCAUUAUUAUAAUAUUUAGGGUCAGACCCUACAGUAUUGCAAUUAAGAAAUCAAAUAUUUUAUAAAAUGUAAAUACACUGAACUCAUUUGGAUAUAUUUAAGUGAGACUCUAGAAUAUUAUUUGACACAAAUCUAUCUAAAUCAAAAUUUAAAUAAUUUUCACGCCAAACAUUUACUGGACUGAUUUAAAUAUUAAAAUCACUCCUUUCUAAUCCUCUGCUGUACAUUCAAACCUGAGGCCUUAAAUAGAAACACACAAGUAUCUGAUUGAAGGAACUUCUGCAGAGUCCUGGUUCCAGAACAUGAUGAUAGAAUUAUAGACAAACUUUAACAAAAGCUGCCUGAGAGUUUACAGCUUUUUAUGUUGGAUUUCUUCAGUAAUUUAAUGAGCAUUAUCAGCAAUAAUCGAGUGUUCAUUUGAUGAACUUAAUUUCCUAAAUCAUCCAGAAUUGGAGCUCAUAUCUUUGGCAGCUGUAAAGUUUCUGCUCCUUUAUAGUUCACAACACAAUGAAUUAAUUCCUAAAACACUCUGAAUGCUGGAGAGCGUUUGUGAUGCUGAAGCAGUGACCAGUUUUUCUGUUUCUUCUCUGGAGAUGCACAAUGAGGGACGUCUGCAGAGACUGAGAAAGAGUCUCACCACAUCCUGACAUGAGGAAAAAGACUUUAUUGAAGACUACAAUGAGAAAAACUAUCAGACAGCAGACGGCUGCAUUCAAGAUGAGCUCUGAACAUUUGAUCUGGAACAGGAAUUCAAUAACGGCAGCAUGAGCUUCAUUUCAGUCUGUAGCUGCUGAAUUCAUGGAUGAAUCAUCUGGCACUAGAGAAGAAGACCAUCAAACAUCCAUGUCAGCUGAUGGAGGUUCAAGAGUCUCACCAAACAAACAACCUACAGAGUGAAGACCUCGAAUCUGAUUGGACGGCCUCCUAUUCAGCCACAUUUUAGGCUGUUAGAUUGUUCCAGAUAAGACAAGUACAAGAUUCUUCAGAGCCAUUCUACCACGAGCCUGACAGGAAGAACUCCAACAGCUACUGAAUGUUCCUGUGGUUCCCUCAAGGCUACAGGAGGAGCCCUACGAGGACGAGCCAGUCCACCUGAUGGAGGCCAGUCGCUGCGGUUCAAAGCCAACACCGACUACGUGGACUUCUACUGGACCACACGGAGGCCUUCAAACCGGACCAACAAGUUCACCGACUCCCCGACUCGUGGGUCUGAGGACGCCGCCGAGCCUCGACCCAGCCGGCCUCCUGUCUGUGGGUGUUUUAGUGCUGAGAGGUUUGUGGAUGCAUGUGAACGUUCUGUGUUGAAACAGCAGCUUUGGACUCACUAACACCGGGAAAAACCAAGAGCUCCUUUAUCUGUGACUUCCACUAAAAAACUGAUGAAAACAAGUUUUCCAGGGUUCUGACUGAUAACAGAUUAUUAAAUAAUGAAAAUAACAGUUUAAAUAUUCCUUUAAACAAUCCUUUGAGGUCUACAUUUCCUUUACACUGAUUUCUUGGUAUUUUGGGUGGAAUAUACCAUUAAGCCCAAUGUUCAAGGGUUCUUCUGGGAAUAUACCAUUAAACCAACCUUUUAGGUAAAUGUUCCAGGAUGUUGGGUAGAAUAUACCAUCAGAUCAACCUUUUAGGUCUACAUUGGAAGAUUUUAGAGUAGAAUAUUACUCCAAACCAUCCUUUAGCUCUACAUUUAAGGUGGAAUACUCCUUUACACCAAGAUUUUUUGGUCUACAUUGAAAGAUUUUAGGUGGAAUAUUCCUUUGAACGAACUUUUUAAGUUUAUGUUCAAGGAUGUUGGGUGGAAUAUACCAUCAGACCAACCUCCAAGGUCUACAGUAGUGAAUUUUAGGUAGAAUAUACCAUUAAACUCACCUUUCAGGUCUACAUUGGAGGAUUUUAGGUGGAAUUUUCUUCCAAACUGUCUUUUAGUCAACAUUUAAGGACGUUUAGGAUGGUAUAUUCUUCCAAACCAACUUCUCAGGUCUACAUUUCAGGUGGAAUAUUCCGCCAUACUAACUUUUUUGGUCUACAUUGAAGGAUUUUUUCUAAACCACUCUUUCAGGUCUAUAUUUGAGGUUUUAGGUGGAAUAUUCCUUUUAACCAGCCCCUCAGGUCUCUGAGGAUUUUGGAUGGAAUACUCGGUUAAACCAACAUUUUAGGUGCAUGUCCAAGGAUUUUUGGUGGAAUGUUCCUUUAAGGUGGAUGUGUGAGGACCUUGUAGGUGGAAUACUUCCUGAAACCAACCUUUUAGGUCAACAUUCAAAGAUUUAAGGUGGAAUAUUCCUUUAAACCAACCUAAAUUUCAUGUUUUGUUCAUUAUCAAGUGAGAAACCUCAAUCCAGACUCCUCAUAAUGACGUUUCAGAUUUAUGCUGCUGUUAUUUUUUUAGUCCAGACUAAAUGACAGAAAUCCACAGCUGUAAUUUUAUUUCAGGACUCGGUUAUUAAAUGUCAGAACAAUCCAUGUAACUCUAAAAACUCAACAGCUUUACAGACUCUAAGAUUAAAUUCUCCACAAGGAUCCAAAAUAAGUUGGACUUCUACAUGAGAGCUUUAAUUAUUCUUCAUCUACUUCCUGAAAAGUUUGGUCAAUAAAAAAGACAAAAACUAAUAUUUUCAGCUGAACUAAAGACAGACUUUGUGAUUUUUCUGCUCACGUGUUGUUGUAAACUUACUCUUUCAAAUAAAUAGCUGCCUAACCCCCUGGAAACCAGCGUUUGUCCU